GUUUGUUUCGGCAGCACAUAUACUGAGAAAUCAGAACAAUACAAAGCAGAUUAGCAUGGCCCCUGUGCCAGGACGACACACAACUUUGUGAAGUGUUCUAUGUCUUU